GGGGCAUUAGCUCAGCUGGUAGAGCGCUUGCAUGGCAUGCAAGAGGUCAGCGGUUCGACUCCGCUAUGCUCCACCA
rnacentral:tRNA from 4 species